rnacentral:rRNA from 1 species
UACGAGGGGUGCAAGCGUUGCUCGGAAUUAUUGGGCGUAAAGGGUUGGUAGGUGGUCUUGUUUGUCUAAGGUGAAAUCCCAUGGCUUAACUGUGGAAGUGCCUUAGAAACGGCAAGACUAGAGUCCUAGAGGGGUUUGUGGAAUUCCCGGGUGUAGCGGUGAAAUGCGUAGAGAUCGGGAGGAACACCAGCGGCGAAGGCGGCAAACUGGAUAGGAACUGACACUCAACAACGAAAGCGUGGGGAGCAAACAGGG